CAUGUAGGCGGAUUGAUAAGUUUGAAGUGAAAUCCUAUAGCUUAACUAUAGAACUGCUUUGAAAACUGUUAAUCUAGAAUGUGGGAGAGGUAGAUGGAAUUUCUGGUGUAGGGGUAAAAGUCCGUAGAGAUCAGAAGGAAUACCGAUUGCGAAGGCGAUCUACUGGAACAUUAUUGACGCUGAGAUGCGAAAGCGUGGGGAGCAAACA
rnacentral:rRNA from 1 species